CGUUACUCUUUUGAGUUUUGGUAAAUUUUCAAGAAUUUCUCAACAACAAUGGCGGUUAUAGAGCGAGAAAACGCAAUUCGAUUCGAACCACGGUCAACACGAGAACCGUCGUUGAUUUCAACACUCUACGGUACCCUCGACAUUUCGUAGGCGCGCGAUUUCGUUAAUACGCGACCGGGUCGUCGAUAUUUUCCGCCGUCGUCCGGAAUUAUAAGAUAAGUUAUUAUCCGAAUGAUAAAUUAAUAAGUUUUUGAUCGUCGCGCGCGCGUUUCCGAACGCGAAAAGUACCGACACAACACAACGCGAGCGUCUCCUGUCAACGGUCGUCGCCGUCGUUGUCGUCAUCGUU